AUAGAUAGAUAGAUAGAUAGAUAGAUAGAUAGAAAGGUGCUAUAUAACAUAGAUAGAUAGAUAGAUAGAUAGAUAGAUAGAUAGAUAGAUAGAGUGAAAGGCGCUAUAUAACAGAUAGAUAGAUAGAUAGAUAGAUAGAUAGAUAGAGUGAAAGGCGCUAUAUAACAGAUAGAUAGAUAGAGUGAAAGGUGCUAUAUAACAGAUAGAUAGAUAGAUAGAUAGAGUGAAAGGUGCUAUAUAACAGAUAGAUAGAUAGAUAGAUAGAUAGAUAGAUAGAUAGAUAGAUAGAUAGAUAGAUAGAUAGAGUGAAAGGUGCUAUAUAACAGAUAGAUAGAUAGAUAAAUAGAUAGAUAGAGUGAAAGGUGCUAUAUAACAGAUAGAUAGAUAGAUAGAUAGAUAGAUAGAUAGAUAGAUAGAUAGAUAGAUAGAUAGAGUGAAAGGCGCUAUACGAUAGAUAGAUAGAU